ACGGGAUUUUGGAUCAUUUUAGAUGUUUUUCUUCUUUCCUCUUCCUUCCUCUCUUCCAUGUCCGAAACCCUAGCCCCCAAACCCUUGAAUUCCUUUACUUUGAUCACGAUCCACCAUGGUUUUUGGCAUCAAGGAUGAAGAACAAGGGAGGAUUAAUGUUUUUACCCGAUUGGAACUUGGAUUUGCGAAGGCUUCUUUCCAAGCUCACUCUUUUGCUUGAUUAUUGAGGACACGCUUCGGGAGGAAUAAAUGCUCCACCAAUGCACUGCACUCAACCUGGAGAUCAACCUUCACUUGUGGCUUUUGUUACCCAGUUGUCAAAUCCUGAGUAUCUAAGCCCUUAGAUGUUGAUUGUUCAAGUUAUGGAGUUUUGCUAGUUUUAAUUUGUACCCUAAAUGUCUGUUAAGGUCGGCGUAUAUGUAUAUGUACAUAGCUAUCUUCAGGUGCACGUCACUAUAUAUUUAACUGCAUUAUGUUCUGUUUGUGAUCCUGGCAUGGUAGUGGUAGCUCAAUGGAUAUAUUGUUAUAAUUAUUAUUAUUUUUGUUUG